AGAGGGUUCAAAAGGAGACAACUUCUUCUUCUCCGUUCACUUUUCCAGCCGGCCAGCGACACCUGCGAAGCUGUCGGACGAAAAACACCAAGGCUGAGCUGAAAAAUCUUCGGCUGGGGCAUUCUCUGGAAAAGCCUGCAGGAAAUUGGAGGGCACCAACCCUCGUUGUCCAUGCAAGUCACCCUGAGAGAGCAUGGAACAUCAGAUAUCAGAACAAUGGGUAACAAACUGUCAAGUGGUAUGCUGUCCUAGCAUGUCUACACUAAUGGCGUUGUACACUAAGCUCCAGGCACCCACUGAAGCAGGAAAACGUUGGCGGGACGACACCUUUUUGACCAGGGGCUGCCUGGCUUAAGGCGGACGGUAGUCGACCGAUGAGACACGAUGAUCCCUUCCACCGUCGAAACUGACCCGUGGCGCCCCUUUCCUACGCCAAUUGGAUGGGGGCUUAUAACCCGUAACUGUCAGAA